AACGAACGCUGGCGGCAGGCUUAACACAUGCAAGUCGAGCGCCCCGCAAGGGGAGCGGCAGACGGGUGAGUAACGCGUGGGAAUCUACCCAUCCCUACGGAACAACUCCGGGAAACUGGAGCUAAUACCGUAUACGCCCUACGGGGGAAAGAUUUAUCGGGGAUGGAUGAGCCCGCGUUGGAUUAGCUAGUUGGUGGGGUAAAGGCCUACCAAGGCGACGAUCCAUAGCUGGUCUGAGAGGAUGAUCAGCCACAUUGGGACUGAGACACGGCCCAAACUCCUACGGGAGGCAGCAGUGGGGAAUAUUGGACAAUGGGCGCAAGCCUGAUCCAGCCAUGCCGCGUGAGUGAUGAAGGUCUUAGGAUUGUAAAGCUCUUUCACCGAUGAAGAUAAUGACGGUAGUCGGAGAAGAAGCCCCGGCUAACUUCGUGCCAGCCGCCGCCGUAAUAC
rnacentral:rRNA from 1 species